rnacentral:misc_RNA from 1 species
CGUUCAUUGUGGUUAGUGCCUGCAUCUGUUUCCGAUAAAAAAAACUUCGUUGCAUGCUGAUUUCUUUCCAACGAACCAUUUGGUUUUGAAAUCUAAAUCGUUGCCUAACCACUCUUUCUGCCUACGGCUAAAACUUCUCGUUCCUUAUCAAGGUUUUCCCCUCUGCUCACCAGCAUCCUGUUCUUUAUAUUUCUCAUGACAUUUUACGUAUUCACCUUCAGUCAGUUGUUUUCACGCCAAAUACGAAAGCACUAGGUGCCAAACAAUUUUACAGCAUGUGAUCACAUAUUUACAAUCACAGUGUCUGGAAAUGUUUGCGUGUAACUUCGUGAAGUCGAUGCAGUUGGUGUUUUUCUUUUACUUCGUUCGAAGUUAUGCGCAACGGAUACGUUUGCUUCCGGAUGUGGCAGAACAAGUGAUUGAUGCAGGUUCCAACAUCACUCUGAUUUGUAUCUUUGAGGAUUUAAAAUUUUACAGUAAAAUAUCGGCUGUGGCACCUCUAUCAUGGGAAUUGCCCGACUACAUCGUGAAAUAUCCGGAAGAGAGUUUUGUCGCUAAUCGCCUUGUUAAGACGUUUGACACCAAUGAAACGCACAAGAUAUCGUCUCUUACUCUGGCACAGGCCACAACGAAAGACACGGGAUAUUUCGGUUGUACCGGACGGUUAUUGCGUGUUUAUGAUGAAACCUUAGAAACCAAACAAUACGUCUACGUUUACCGUAUCUUAUUCGGGGUGUAUUCAUUAAAUCAAAUUUGCAAAAUUUGAUUCAAAAUUUGCUGUAUAGGUAACGAUAGCCUCGCUUUCAUUGACGAUCCAUCCCAAGGUGGUAGAAAGGGCUACCACUUUACUUUUCGACAAGGGAAUUCCGGCCUUGUUCCAUGCAAAUCCACUCAUCAAAAUGUUACCGUAACUAUCAAAUCGGGUAUCCUUACUGUGUUAUAAAUUCGGGAUAGCCCUGUGGCGUUUUUUGAAAUAAUUUCAAAAAUACCUCUCCUCGGAUUUGAACCAAUAAUAAAAAGUAUAACGUGGUUCCCAGCUAGCGACUGAACCCACUGUGCCAUCGGAAUACGUCAAUAUAUUAUGAACUCAUGAAAACCAAAGGGAAGUGGACGUCGACUAUAUUUUACGGGAUUUGAACCAAGGACCAAUAAAGAUAUUCGAGCUCCUAGGCGGAGUCUGAACCCACUGUACCAUCGGAAUAUAUCUUACAUUUUCGAUCUCUUCAACGUAUGAUGCAGACCAAAGAGAUGUGACCACAGAAUUAAUUUUACGGGUAUCUUCACUGUGUUAUAAAUUCGGGACAGCCCUCAGGCGAUUUUAGAAAUAAUUUUAAUAAUUUUUUGGAUUUGAACCAACGACUAAAAGUUACACAGGUAACUGAUAGUUACUUAACCCACUGUGCCACCUGAACUUUAUUUAGGAGUAUGUAAUAACAAAUUAAAAUGGAAUUAACAAUAAGGGAAUGCAAGACUCUUUUAAAAAAUCAUCAAUAAAGACGUAAUGAAAAAACUUUCAGCAUGAUCAACAUCCACCUCAAAAUAAGUGUCGUCAAACUGCACGUAACUUAAAAGAAGUUAGUAAAUCCCAGAUAUUGACACUUCAACUAGUACCAUCUUGCGUACAUUAUACUGUCCCGAUUUUGUGUACUUGGGUGUCCCGAUUUUGUGUUAUGGGUUUUAUCACCAGCAAGCUUCUCGAUCGAUUUUAUGGAAAUUUCUGAUUUUUUCUUGCAUUUCAAUGAAUGGAAUCUAGAGAUUCUGUCGAGCUCUUUCAUUUAAGACUAAAUUCAGCUCAAAAUAACCCCUAAAUAACUUAAUAUGGAUGGAUUUCAAACGUCCCAAAUCUAGCUUUUUUCUAAGUCCUUUUUUAUAAUAUAUUAUUUGUCAUAUCUUUACAAUUUGUACAGCUACAUUGACAUAGUUGUAUGUAAACGUAGAUCCGUUUAUUUUCUUUAAUUUCAGCAACUUUCCCUUUAAAAAAUCGGGUUAGUUUUUCUAUUAAACUGAAAAAUGUUAUUUCGUCCCAAAUAAGAAAUUUUCGGGCCUGUCCCGAAUUAGGUACUUUACCCUAACACAAUAAAUAAUAAAGAUGAAUUUUCAAAUGCAUUUUUAAUAUUUUAAAAUAGAAUAAACAAAAAUAAGUCAUUAAAAACAAAUUUGAUUUGUUUUUUUGCGCAAUUUAAAAAAAUUGUGAAUUUCAAUUACGAAAUUUAACAUAUCAAAAAUUGUCUAAUGACUUCGACCGUAUUUAAGGAUAGGGAAUCAAAUUAUGUUUAAAUUAAAUCUAUUUCUGGACACAUUGAUUAGUAAUUUUAUAGAUUAUAGAACAAAAACCUAUAUUUUUACUAUACCCCCGAGAGGCGAGGGUCCUCCUAACCUAGCGAACCUGGCGGGAAUCUUGGGAUCCUUUACUAAACACCCGCCGUUUCUUCCAAGAGACUGGGAUAGCCGGAUAGUGCAUCUUUCCUAUUAUAUCACGCUGAAACCAAGAAGUUAGAGUUGGGCUAUCAAAUUACAGCCUUAUGGAGAGUUGGAUCCCACACCCUUGCUACCUAUUAAUCAGAGUGUAGCAGAGACUUGACGUUGCUCGUUCCUGACCAAAUUCUCAAGAGAUUCAGUGCACGAAGAAUUCUACCAGAAGUCAUAACUAAGAAUUUUAUAGAAAGCUACGCGUGACGCUUGUCGGUCAAGGAAGAAGAAGAGCUACCCACCCGAUAUUGGCUGCCCCAUUUCGGUGUACCAAUGGCCUCUGGGUGUCAAGAAUUGCGCUUAGUAUUCGGCGCGGCCUCAAAGUAUCACGAAAGUAGCCUUAACAACUACGUCACGGCAAAACUGACCCUUCAAAACCCACUUCCCGCCGUUCGUUUCCGUUCUUCGUUUCCACUAGGGAGUGGUUGCCUGGGCAUCCGACAUCGUCGCCAUCUUUAGUCGCAUUCGAUACAACCGUGGAUUGAGGAGAGGCAGAUGGUGCCAUUCUGCGCAACAUCUACGUCGAUGACUACCUCGACUCUGGCAGGUGCAUGGAAGAAGCGUUCUGGUGAGCGACAGCAGUAAAUGGGUUGGUCAAGAGCGGCGACUUUCACCUAGACCAUUGGGUGUCGAACGACAUCCGUCUCUUGGUGAAACUCCCGCCAUUCGACUCGAAGAGUAACAAGUUUGUCAACAUUGGAGCUUACGACGCGGAGAUCAUCCUUGGAAUCACAGAGAGGCCCGCCACUAACAUGUUGGGGUUCCGAAUGAAAUUAAUACACAUCACCUACACGAGUGUUGAACUUUUAUCGAAAGUGCGGGUCUUUUUUACCCUUGGGGAACUGCUGCACAACUUACUCUGAAGGCCAAAAUUUGACUAAAAGAACUGGGCUUAAAAGGAUUGAAGUGAGAUGUCCCAGACACUGGUUCAGAUCGCGAAUGCUUUGAGCAGUUCUUCGGUGCAAUGGAGCAGCUGCAGAAAAUAGAAUUCUCCCGCUGCAUCUUUGCGGAUAAGGAAAAUAUUGUCCGUACGGAAUUGAAUACCUUCGUUGACGCCUCAGAAUAGGCCACAUGCUACAUCCAGCGUGUAUAAAGACCAUAAAGUAAUUGUCGUCACUCGUCAAAUCAGUGACAUAAUAUCUGUCCAUGGUUGAUGGUUCGAAUCACAAAAAAAUUAUAAUUGAUGAUUUAUAUUUGAAUGAUAUAAUUGAACAGUAUGAUUGGAAAGUCGACUAUUGCUAAGACAUCUAAGCGUGAAAAAAUGUUUGCUCUCUGAAAUCAUCAUUCAAUCUCAUUUUCACCCAUAUUUUUACGUCAAUAACAACAUCCGAAAAGUAACAUAUAAACAAGAAUGAAAUUAGCAUUGUAAAUUAGAUCGUUUUCAUGGAAGUUUGGAAAAAGUGUCACAUGCUUAUCUGCGUGCCACACUUUAGACAUUGGUACCGGGAAAAAUCCCAGCAGACAAAGAUUGGUCGAAACCGUAUUGGAGUAUCUGAAGGCUCCUAAGACACUCAUCUGACAUCUUCUACUUCAACUGCGGCGAUUUUGCUAUCCGUUUCCUCCCGUUUAUGGCACUCUCCAGGAGAUUGACCAUGCCAUGACGUUUCGUGUGGUGUUCGUGAAAUGCUUGAGUUAUUGAAACUCUCACGUAGUCUUCCUCCAUCUGUUUGGAAAUUUACUGUACUGACAGUUUCGUUCCUUUAGAUUGUCCUAUUACAUAAUGGCAUUUCUACAUCUUAUGACAAAAAAACUGAAAUUUAGCACCAACCUGAAUAUCAAGCAUGAUUGAGCGGAACAUCGCGAUGCAAUGUUCUUUUAAGACGUCAUCUAGUAUGGGAAUUAUCUUUUUUUUUUAUUUCGAUGUAAUUACAAUGCCGUUCAAUCAAAAGAUUAAUAUACUUCAGUACGAAUACAAUUUCUAAUUUAAGAUAAUGGUGGGACAAAAUUUUUUCCAUCGUACCAAAGUCGUACCCGCUUGUGAUUCCAGUAAAUCAUACCUAUAACACCAACAACGUUAGUUAUUCCACUUUUAAGUUAUCCCUAGUGAAAAUAUGACAAUUAAUAACAUUUAAUUGCUGUAGAUAACCAAAUCAAAGUAAUCUUAUAACAUUAAACGACAUAGAAGUUAAA